rnacentral:rRNA from 1 species
ACUCCUACGGGAGGCAGCAGUGGGGAAUAUUGCACAAUGGGCGCAAGCCUGAUGCAGCCAUGCCGCGUGUGUGAAGAAGGCCUUCGGGUUGUAAAGCACUUUCAGUCGUGAGGAAGGUAGUGUAGUUAAUAGCUGCAUUAUUUGUACGUUAGCGACAGAAGAAGCACCGGCUAACUCCGUGCCAGCAGCCGCGGUAAUACGGAGGGUGCGAGCGUUAAUCGGAAUUACUGGGCGUAAAGCGCAUGCAGGUGGUUUGUUAAGUCAGAUGUGAAAGCCCGGGGCUCAACCUCGGAAUAGCAUUUGAAACUGGCAGACUAGAGUACUGGUAGAGGGGGUAGAAUUUCAGGUGUAGCGGUGAAAGUGCGUAGAGAUCUGAAGGAAUACCGGUGGCGAAGGCGGCCCCUGGACAGAUACUGACACUCAGAUGCGAAAGCGUGGGAGCAAACAGGAUUAGACUA